rnacentral:rRNA from 1 species
CGAACGCUGGCGGCAGGCUUAACACAUGCAAGUCGAGCGAGAUCUUCGGAUCUAGCGGCGGACGGGGUGAGUAACGCGUGGGAACGUGCCCUUUACUACGGAAUAGUCCCCGGAAACUGGGUUUAAUACCGUAUACGCCUUUCCGGGGGGAAAGAUUUAUCGGCAAAAGGAUCGGCCCGCGUUGGAUUUAGGUAGUUUGGUGGGGUAAUGGCCUAACCAAGCCGCUCGAUCCAUAGCUGUUUUUGAGAGGAUGAUUCAGCCACACUGGGGAUGAGACACGGGCCCCAGACUUCCCUACGGAAGGCAAGCAAGUGGGGAAUUCUUAGACAAUGGGGGCAAACC